rnacentral:rRNA from 1 species
GGUGCCGCAUGGCACCCCGGCUAAAGCCCCGACGGGAGGGGAUGGCUCCGCGGCCCAUCAGGUAGACGGCGGGGUGACGGCCCACCGUGCCGACAACGGGUAGCCGGGUUGAGAGACCGACCGGCCAGAUUGGGACUGAGACACGGCCCAGACUCCUACGGGAGGCAGCAGUGGGGAAUCUUGCGCAAUGGGGGGAACCCUGACGCAGCGACGCCGCGUGCGGGACGGAGGCCUUCGGGUCGUAAACCGCUUUCAGCAGGGAAGAGUCAAGACUGUACCUGCAGAAGAAGCCCCGGCUAACUACGUGCCAGCAGCCGCGGUAAUACGUAGGGGCGAGCGUUAUCCGGAUUCAUUGGGCGUAAAGCGCGCGUAGGCGGCCCGGCAGGCCGGGGGUCGAAGCGGGGGGCGUCAACCCCCCGAAGCCCCCGGAACCUCCGCGGCUUGGGUCCGGUAGGGGAGGGUGGAACACCCGGUGUAGCGGUGGAAUGCGCAGAUAUCGGGUGGAACACCGGUGCGAAGGCGGCCC